rnacentral:rRNA from 1 species
GUGCCAGCAGCCGCGGUAAUACGGAGGGUGCAAGCGUUACUCGGAAUCACUGGGCGUAAAGCGAGCGCAGGCGGAUAGAUAAGUUGGAAGUGAAAUCCUAUGGCUUAACCAUAGAACUGCUUCCAAAACUGUUUGUCUAGAAUAUGGGAGAGGUAGAUGGAAUUUCUGGUGUAAGGGUAAAAUCCGUAGAGAUCAGAAGGAAUACCGAUUGCGAAGGCGAUCUACUGGAACAUUAUUGACGCUGAGGCUCGAAAGCGUGGGGAGCAAACAGGAUUAGAUACCCGUGGUAGUCCACGCCCUAAACGAUGCACGACUAGCUGUUGCCAUACUAGAUAUGGCAGUAAUGCAGUUAACACAUUAAGUGUGCCGCCUGGGGAGUACGGUCGCAAGNUUAAAACUCAAAUGAAUUGACGG